rnacentral:rRNA from 1 species
GAUGAACGCUAGCGGCAGGCUUAACACAUGCAAGUCGAGGGGUAUAACAUUUCGGUGUUAGAGACCGGCGCACGGGUGCGUAACGCGUAUGUAAUCUACCUUUUACAGAGGGAUAGCCCAGAGAAAUUUGGAUUAAUACCUCAUGGUAUUAUGGAUAGGCAUCUAUUUAUAAUUAAAGAUUUAUCGGUAAAAGAUGAGCAUGCGUCCCAUUAGCUAGUUGGUAUGGUAACGGCAUACCAAGGCUACGAUGGGUAGGGGUCCUGAGAGGGGGAUACCCCACACUGGUACUGGGUAACGGACCAGAAGCCUGCGGGAGGCAGCAGUGAGGAAUAUUGGAAAAGGGGCGCAAGCCUGAUCCAGCCAUGCCGCGGGCAGGAUGACUGCCCUAUGGGUUGUAAACUGCUUUUGUACAGGAAGAAACCCUUCUAUGCGUAGAAGAUUGAAAGUACUGUAAGAAUAAGGAUCGGCUAACUCCGUGCCAGCAGCCGCCGUAAAAC